UACAGAGGUGGCAAGCGUUGUUCGGAAUUACUGGGCGUAAAGGGCGCGUAGGCGGCCAUCUAAGUCAGACGUGAAAUCCCCCGGCUUAACCUGGGAACUGCGUCUGAUACUGGAAGGCUUGAGUAUGGGAGAGGGAUGUAGAAUUCCAGGUGUAGCGGUGAAAUGCGCAGAUAUCAGGAGGAACACCGGUGGCGAAGGCGGGUCUCUGGGCCGUAACUGACGCUGAGGAGCGAAAGCGUGGGGAGCGAACAGG
rnacentral:rRNA from 1 species